rnacentral:rRNA from 1 species
AGCGAACGCUGGCGGCAGGCCUAACACAUGCAAGUCGAACGAACCUUUCGGGGUUAGUGGCGGACGGGUGAGUAACACGUGGGAACGUGCCUUUAGGUUCGGAAUAACUCAGGGAAACUUGUGCUAAUACCGAAUGUGCCCUUCGGGGGAAAGAUUAAUCGCCUUUAGAGCGGCCCGCGUCUGAUUAGCUAGUUGGUUGAGGUAAUGGCUCACCAAGGCGACGAUCAGUAGCUGGUCUGAGAGGAUGAUCAGCCACAUUGGGACUGAGACACGGCCCAAACGCCUACGGGAGGCAGCAGUGGGGAAUCUUGCGCAAUGGGCGAAAGCCUGACGCAGCCAUGCCGCGUGAAUGAUGAAGGUCUUAGGAUUGUAAAAUUCUUUCACCGGGGACGAUAAUGACGGUACCCGGAGAAGAAGCCCCGGCUAACUUCGUG